UUGAACGCUGGCGGCAUGCCUUACACAUGCAAGUCGAACGGCAGCAGCAGGGUACCCUUGGGUGGCGAAGUGGCGAACGGGUGAGUAAUGCAUAGGACGUACCCUGUUUGUGGGGGAUAACUAGUCGAAAGCGUAGCUAAUACCGCAUACGCCCUGAGGGGGAAAGCGGGGGACCCUAAUAGAGCGCCUGGAGAAUAAAAGUGUGCUGUAUUUAGGCCUCGCGCAAUGGAGCGGCCGAUGCCUGAUUAGCUAGUUGGUGAGGUAAAGGCCACCAAGGCGACGAUCCGUAGCUGGUCUGAGAGGAUGAUCAGCCACACUGGGACUGAGACCGGCCAGACUCCUACGGGAGCAGCAGUGGGAAUUUUGGACAUGGGCGCAAGCCUGAUCCAGCCAUGCCGCGUGGUGAAGAAGGCCUUCGGGUUGUAAGCCUUUCGGACGGAAGAAAUCGCGCAGGUAAUAGCUGCGUGGGAUGACGUACCGGAAGAAUAAGCACCGGCUAACUACGUGCCAGCAGCCGCGGUAAUACGUAGGGUGCGAGCGUUAAUCGAAUUACUGGGCGUAAGGCGUGCGCAGGCGGUUUGUAAGACAGGUGUGAAUCCCCGGCUUAACUGGGAAUGGCGCUUGUGACUGAGACUCGAGUGCUGCGAGGGGGGUGGAAUUCCACGUGUAGCAGUGAAAUGCGUAGAGAUGUGGAGGAACACCGAUGGCGAAGGCAGCCCCCCUGGUCGACACUGACGCUCAUGCACGAAAGCGUGGGAGGGCAAACAGGAUUAGAUACCCUGUAGUCCACGCCCUAAACGAGUGCCAACUAGGUGUUGGGGAGGAGGCUUCCUUAGUACCGAAGCUAACGCGUGAAGUUGGCCGCCUGGGGAGUACGGUCGCAAGAUUAAAACUCAAAGGAAUUGACGGGGACCCGCACAAGCGGUGGAUGAUGUGGAUUAAUUCGAUGCAACGCGAAAAACCUUACCUACCCUUGACAUGCCAGGAACCUUGCUGAGAGGUGAGGGUGCCCGAAAGGGAACCUGGACACAGGUGCUGCAUGGCUGUCGUCAGCUCGUGUCGUGAGAUGUUGGUUAAGUCCCGCAACGAGCGCAACCUGUCAUUAAUUGCCAUCAUUAAGUUGGGCACUUUAAUGAGACUGCCGGUGACAAACCGGAGGAAGGUGGGGAUGACGUCAGUCCUCAUGGCCCUUAUGGGUAGGGCUUCACACGUCAUACAAUGGUCGGUACAGAGGGUCGCCAACCGCGAGGGGGGAGCUAAUCUCACAAGCCGAUCGUAGUCCGGAUCGCAGUCUGCAACUCGACUGCGUGAAGUCGGAAUCGCUAGUAAUCGCGGAUCAGCAUGUCGCGGUGAAUACGUUCCCGGGUCUUGUACACACCGCCCGUCACACCAUGGGAGUGGGUUUCACCAGAAGAGGGUAGCCUAACCGCAAGGAGGGCGCUCGCCACGGUGAGAUUCAUGACUGGGGUG
rnacentral:rRNA from 1 species